AACGAACGCUGGCGGCAGGCCUAACACAUGCAAGUCGAGCGGACCCUUCGGGGUUAGCGGCGGACGGGUGAGUAACGCGUGGGAACGUGCCCUUUGCUUCGGAAUAGCUCUGGGAAACUGGGAGUAAUACCGGAUACGCCCUUUUGGGGAAAGAUUUAUCGGCGAAGGAUCGGCCCGCGUUGGAUUAGGUAGUUGGUGGGGUAAUGGCCUACCAAGCCGACGAUCCAUAGCUGGUUUGAUAGGAUGAUCAGCCACACUGGGACUGAGACACGGCCCAGACUCCUACGGGAGGCAGCAGUGGGGAAUCUUAGACAAUGGGGGAAACCCUGAUCUAGCCAUGCCGCGUGAGCGAUGAAGGCCUUAGGGUUGUAAAGCUCUUUCACCGGGGAAGAUAAUGACGGUACCCGGAGAAGAAGCCCCGGCUAACUCCGUG
rnacentral:rRNA from 1 species